AAGUACUGCUUCUCUUCGUUUUAAUGAGGAUAUAAAUUGAGUUUAAACCAAACAAACUGUGCUUGUGUGUAUUUGUGCUAUUCUUCUUUGUAAUAAAUGCCCCAUGGUGCGGGACAGUAUUUCAUUUCGAAGGCAAAAUUAUUUGUGGAUUUUUAGGUGGAGUUUUGUUUCAAAUUGUUUUUAAAUGGAAAAAUUCACUGGAUUUACUAAUUUUUGUAAGGGUUGGAUUGCGGCUGGAAGGGUAUCCGCUGUGUAAAACAUAUGCUGGAUAAGUUGGCGGUUCAUUCCACUGUGGCGACCCCUAAUUAAUAACUAAAGCCGCCUUUCCACAAGACAUUUGGACAUGACUGUCGGAGUACGCCCCCUUGUGGCAGCUCGCACAGAAUUUUCAGUGUUGUCGUGCACCAUGGGCGAGAAGGAAACUGCUUCACUGGAUGACAAGUACAACACUUUACAAGGUG